UACGGGGGGGGCAAGCGUUGUUCGGAAUUACUGGGCGUAAAGGGCUUGUAGGUGGCCAACUAAGUCAGACGUGAAAUCCCUCGGCUUAACUGGGGAACUGCGUGUGAUACUGGAUGGCUUGGAUUUGGGAGAGGGAUGCGGAAUUCCAGGUGUAGCGGUGAAAUGCGUAGAUAUCAGGAGGAACACCGGUGGCGAAGGCGGGUCUCUGGGCCGAUACUGACGCUGAGGAGCGAAAGCGUGGGGAGCGAACAGG
rnacentral:rRNA from 1 species